CACGGGGGUUGCGAGCGUUGUCCGGAAUUACUAGGCGUAAAGGGCUGGCAGGCGGAUCCAUAAGUUUAUCGUUUAAGGCGUCGGCUUAACCGGCGUAGGGCGGUAGAUACUGUGGAUCUGGAAUGCGGUUGGGGAAGACAGAAUUCCUGGUGUAGCGGUAGAAUGCGCAGAGAUCAGGAGGAAUACCGAAGGCGAAGGCAGUCUUCCAAGCCGUUAUUGACGCUCAACUGCGAAGGUGUGGGUAUCAAACAGGAUUAGAUACCCGGGUAGUCCCUGAGCGGG
rnacentral:rRNA from 1 species